rfam:Saccharomyces cerevisiae FostersO chromosome XII FOSTERSO_c12_70, whole genome shotgun sequence.
GGUUAAGCGUGAUUAUAAAAAAAUGAUUUAAAUAUUUUUCUGAGGAAGUAUAUGCAGGACAUAUUGUGAAUUAGGAAUUCUUCGUUUAUGAUCUGGCC